CAAACCCACUCAUAAAAUAUUAUGGUAUUGAUGGAGGUGGACUCUGGUUACUAAUGUGCCAGGAUCACCCCAUUGAAAUAUAUAGGCAGGACAGUAAACCUCUGCAAUGGACUUAGUAACUGUUGUGAAGACAUAGACCAGUCCUUUGCCGGGUUCCAGCCUGGCCUCCAUGGACCUCCAUCCAAGAUAAAACUCUG
rnacentral:misc_RNA from 1 species